ACGAACGCUGGCGGCGUGCUUAACACAUGCAAGUCGAACGGAAAGGCCCUGCUUUUGUGGGGUGCUCGAGUGGCGAACGGGUGAGUAACACGUGAGUAACCUGCCCUUGACUUUGGGAUAACUUCAGGAAACUGGGGCUAAUACCGGAUAGGAGCUCCUGCUGCAUGGUGGGGGUUGGAAAGUUUCGGCGGUUGGGGAUGGAUUCGCGGCUUAUCAGCUUGUUGGUGGGGUAGUGGCUUACCAAGGCUUUGACGGGUAGCCGGCCUGAGAGGGUGACCGGCCACAUUGGGACUGAGAUACGGCCAAGACUCCUACGGGAGGCAGCAGUGGGGAAUAUUGCACAAUGGGCGGAAGCCUGAUGCAGCAACGCCGCGUGCGGGAUGACGGCCUUCGGGUUGUAAACCGCUUUCGCCUAUGACGAAGCGUGAGUGACGGUAAUGGGUAAAGAAGCACCGGCUAACUACGUG
rnacentral:rRNA from 1 species